UUGUCCUUAGUUACCAGCACGUUAUGUGGGCGACUCUAAGGAGACUGCCGGUGACAACCGGAGGAAGUGGGGAUGACGUCAAGUCAUCAUGGCCCUUACGGCCUGGGCUACACACGUGCUACAAUGGUCGGUACAAAGGGUUGCCAAGCCGCGAGGUGGAGCUAAUCCCAUAAAACCGAUCGUAGUCCGGAUCGCAGUCUGCAACUCGACUGCGUGAAGUCGGAAUCGCUAGUAAUCGUGAAUCAGAAUGUCACGGUGAAUACGUUCCCGGGCCUU
rnacentral:rRNA from 1 species